UACGGGGGGAGCAAGCGUUGUUCGGAUUUACUGGGCGUAAAGCGCGCGUAGGCGGCUUUGUAAGUCAGAGGUGAGAGCCCGGAGCUUAACUUCGGAAUAGCCUUUGAGACUGCAUCGCUUGAAUCCGGGAGAGGUGAGUGGAAUUCCGAGUGUAGAGGUGAAAUUCGUAGAUAUUCGGAAGAACACCAGUGGCGAAGGCGGCUCACUGGACCGGUAUUGACGCUGAGGUGCGAAAGCGUGGGGAGCAAACAGG
rnacentral:rRNA from 1 species